rnacentral:rRNA from 1 species
AUUGAACGCUAGCGGCAGGCCUAACACAUGCAAGUCGAACGAGUGGCGGACGGGUGAGUAAUGUAUGGGAAACUGCCCGAUGGAGGGGGAUAACUACUGGAAACGGUGGCUAAUACCGCAUACCAUCGGAUGUGCCCAGAUGGGAUUAGCUAGUUGGUGGGGUAAGGGCUCACCUAGGCGACGAUCCCUAGCUGGUCUGAGAGGACGACCAGCCACACUGGAACGGAGACACGGCCCAGACGCCUACGGGAGGCAGCAGUGGGGAAUAUUGCACAAUGGGGGAAACCCUGAUGCAGCCAUCCCGCGUGUAUGAAGAAGGCCUUCGGGUUGUAAAGUACUUUCAGCAGGGAGGCGGUAUCUGCAGAAGAAGCACCGGCUAACUACGUGCCAGCAGCCGCGGUAAUAC